rfam:Oryza nivara chromosome 6, whole genome shotgun sequence.
UUUAAGUGCAACCAUAAAUUUUCGUACCUAAUUUUAAUAGUCCGUCUUAUUUGAAUUUUUUUUAUAAUUAGUAUUUUUGUUGUUAUGAGAUGAUAAAACAUGAAUAAUACUUUAUGUGUGACUUAUGUUUUUAUUUUUUGAAAAAAAUUAAAUAAGACGGACGAUCAAAGUUUAGCACGGAAAAACAUGGCUGCACUUAAA